rnacentral:lncRNA from 1 species
AAACAUUUUAAAGUGAAUUGAAAAUCAGUUUUCACAGUCAUUGUGACGAGAGUGGCAAAAGAGUGGUCCAAACCAGAAACUCUGCUAUAUCUGUAAUUCGCCACAUUAACAGUAAAUGCGGAUGGUGAAAAUUUUCCGUAUGAGGUUGGCCUGCAUCAAACAGUAUACUGGAGUCAGAGUCACAAUCCAUUAAAGCAAGGAAGAAUGGCACAAGAGAUGGGAUAAGUAAAUAGCAAAAGUGUUCAAAGAACAAGGACCUUACCUGCAUCAUGUGCAGCAGCUGCAGGGCCUUGGACAUCAUCAUAGGACUGCCCAUCUGUGACAAUUACUAGGAAGUUCUUGUUGGGGCUCUCCCUUAUAGGGCCAAACACAUUUCUAACAGUGAAGGAAAUGGCAUCACCAGUAGCUGUUCCACCACUCAUAUAGCGGAUGUUUCUGAUGACAGCUAGGACAUUCUCUUUGGUGCUAUAGUCAGUGAAACUGAACUCCGUGCGCUGAUCAUAAGUAAACUGUACAGCAGCUAUCUUGGCACCAAUGUCCGAGAUUUCAAAAGUCUUGGCUAUGUUGGAAACAAAUUCAAGCAUGAGGCGGAAAUUGCUAUCUCCAACACUGCUGGAGCCAUCAAUUAGAAAGGCAAUGUUCACUGAGUUAUAACAGGUCUUGCUGCACAUCAUUUGUUCAUGAGUGCACAGCUUCUGUACCAGAGGCUUUACGUAUUUUGUGGUGCCAAACCAGUUGGGCAUGUGGUAAGAGAAGAAGCCAUUAUUCCGACAGACAGCCUAAUGGGGGAGACACAUAAAAGAUAUCCAAAAGGAUCAAAAGUUGUUUCUUCUUAAAAACUGGAAAAUCCUGAAUGUUUCAAGUUAAUCUAGAUAAGAGGCAGUCAGCACUGCACUUAGAGGUCCAAAAUGGAAUACCCAUCACUGUAACAGAAGAUAACCCUCACCACUUUACCUUGUCAACAAAUGUGACAUCCUGAACCAUCCCCAGUUCUUCAGGGAUAGGCUUGGCCACAGAAACUAUAAAUACAUUGACACCAAACUCUCUGGCCACAAUGCCUGCUUCCUCGAUGUCAUCAGAAGGCCAACCAUCAAUAAAUACCACCACCACUUUGGGGAUCCCUUUUCUUACUCCAGCAUCUACCGUGAAGAAUUUCUGAGCAGUAUGCUUCAAGGCUUUUCCUAAAUUUGAAAAAGAAGCAAACAAAUAGCCUUUACCACUGCUCAAACCACAUUUCUGUUUCCCUGUAGCAUUUGAUGCUGCAAAGUUUAAGAAUUAUAUAUAGAACUGGCAGUGGGGCGGGGCACACAAAAAAGAAUUAUAUAGAACCCAGUUCUGUAACAGAUGCAUCAGCUGGGAAAGUUUAAUUAUCUACCAGGCCUAUUUAUCUUCACAAGCCAUAUUAGUUCCCCCUCCACCUCCUAGAAGCCUCACAUUUGUUUACCCCACAUCAAUCGCCAGUUAGAAACACAAAACUGAUUCCCACUUCCAUGCAUGUGCUCUCUAUGUAGCCCUUUGGUGACUGAUUAGUACCUCUAAGAAGUCUCUCUUCAGAGUCAACGGUAGUGCUACUCAUUCUUUC